GACAGAGGGUGCGACCGUUGUUCGGAAUUACUGGGCGUAAAGCGUGUGUAGGCGGCUGCGCAAGUCGGAUGUGAAAGCCCUGGGCUCAACCCAGGAAGUGCACCCGAAACUGCGUAGCUUGAGUCUCGGAGAGGUUGGUGGAAUUCUCGGUGUAGAGGUGAAAUUCGUAGAUAUCGAGAGGAACACCGGUGGCGAAGGCGGGUCUCUGGGCCGAUACUGACACUGAGGAGCGAAAGCGUGGGGAGCGAACAGG
rnacentral:rRNA from 1 species